ACUCAAAGGAAUAGACGGGGACCCGCACAAGCGGUGGAGCGUGUUGUUUAAUUCGAUGAUAAGCGAAGAACCUUACCCAGGUUUGACAUCCCACUAAGAUCUCCGAAAGGAGAUUGUGUCUUCGGACCGUGGUGACAGGUGUUGCAUGGCCGUCGUCAGCUCGUGUCGUGAGAUGUUUGGUUAAGUCCAUCAACGAGCGCAACCCUUUUAGUCAGUUGGAUUUCUCUGGCUAGACUGCCCUGGUAACAGGGAGGAAGGAGGGGAUGAUGUCAGGUCAGUAUUACCCUUACAUCUGGGGCUACAAACACGCUACAAUGGCCGGUACAAAGGGCUGCCAAGUCGCGAGACGGAGCAAAUCCCAUCAAAGCCGGUCUCAGUUCGGAUUGCAGGCUGAAACCCGCCUGCAUGAAGCUGGAAUCGCUAGUAACGGUGAGUCAGCACAUCACCGUGAAUACGUUCCCGGGUCUUGCACACACCGCCCGU
rnacentral:rRNA from 1 species